UACGAAGGGGGCUAGCGUUGCUCGGAAUCACUGGGCGUAAAGCGCACGUAGGCGGGUUGUUAAGUCAGGGGUGAAAUCCUGGAGCUCAACUCCAGAACUGCCUUUGAUACUGGCGAUCUCGAGUCCGGGAGAGGUGAGUGGAACUGCGAGUGUAGAGGUGAAAUUCGUAGAUAUUCGCAAGAACACCAGUGGCGAAGGCGGCUCACUGGCCCGAUACUGACGCUGAGGCACGAAAGCGUGGGGAGCAAACAGG
rnacentral:rRNA from 1 species